rnacentral:rRNA from 1 species
CACGGGGGGAGCAAGCGUUGUUCGGAAUCACUGGGCGUAAAGGGCGUGUAGGCGGUUUGGUAAGUGAGAUGUGAAAUGCUUCGGCUCACCCGAAGACCUGCAUCUCAAACUGCCGGACUAGAGUAUGGGAGAGGACAAGGGAAUUCCUGGUGUAGCGGUGAAAUGCGUAGAUAUCAGGAGGAACACCAAUGGCGAAGGCAGCUCGCUGGGACGGUACUGACGCUGAGACGCGAAAGCGUGGGGAGCAAACAGG